ACACUGAUUUUGCCUCCUGGGAUUUGAGAAAUUUAGUGUGAGUCCUUGUUCUAUUCAGUUAUGUCUCCUCUUUGAUCGUUUAACCUUCUUCAAGGCACUACAAUUGGCCUCUUUUUGAAGGGAAUUAGUGGUUAUCAACUCUUAAUUUUUUUUUUUUUCAUUGACUUCUCGUGUGCUCUGAGUUUAUGGAUUCAUUAGGACAGUCAAAGAUGGAGGGAAUGACUGAUUUGCAAAGCUCACGGCUAGGGUCGGUGCAUUAGCGUCAAUGCUUAACACAAUUGGGGCCACAAUCCCGACGAGCAUGAUUGCUGUGGCGUCGACUUUUCUGCCCCCUCUUUUGUCUUCUUCUCUCUCUCCUCCUUCUCCUUUUCCCUCACUUUUCCCCCUUCUGCCAUCCAUCCCCCUUCCCCCCCUCUCUCUCUCUCUCUCUCUCCUCCCCUUCUCCCUUUCACACUGAUUUUGCCUCCUGGGUUUUGAGAAAUUUAGUGUGAGUUCUUGUUCUAUUAUGUUACCUCUCCUCUUUGAUCGUUUAACCUUCUUCAAGGCACUACAAUUGGCUCUUUUUGAAGGGGAAUUAGUGGUUAUCAACUCUUAAUUUUUAUUUUUUUUCAUUGACUUCUCGUGUGCUCUGAGUAUGUGGAUUCAUUAGGACGGUCCAAGAUGGAGGGAAUGCCUGAUUUGCAGAGCUCACGGCUAGGGUCGGGGCAUUGGCAUCAAUGCUGAACACAAUUGUGGCCACAAUCCCGAUGAGCAUGAUUGCUGUGGCGUCGACUUUUCUACCCCCUCUUUUGUCUUCUUCUCUCUCUCCUCCUUCUCCUUUUCCCCCAAUUUUUCUCCCCUUCUGCUAUCCAUCCCCCUUUCCCCUUUCUCUCUCUCUCUCUCUUCUCCCCUUCUCCCUCUCACACUGAUUUGAGAAAUUUAGUGUGAGUCCUUGUUCUAUUCUGUUACCUCUCCUCUUUGAUCAUUUAACCUUCUUCAAGGCACUACAAUUGGCUCUUUUUGAAGGGGAAUUAGUGGUUAUCAACUCUUAAUUUUUAUUUUUUUCAUUGACUUCUCGCGUGCUCUGAGUUUGUGGAUUCAUUAGGACGGUCAAAGAUGGAGGGAAUGACUGAUUUGCAGAGCUCACGGCUAGGGUCGGUGCAUUGGCAUCAAUGCCGAACACAAUUGUGGCCACAAUCCCGACGAGCAUGAUUGCUGUGGCGUCGACUUUUCUGCCCCCUCUUUUGUCUUCUUCUCUCUCUCCUCCUUCUCCUUUUCCCCACUUUUCCCCCUUCUGCCAUCCAUCCCCCUUUCCCCUUUCUCUCUCUCUUCUCCCCUUCCCCCUCACGCUACCUCCUGCGGCCCUCCUUUUGUCCUUUCUUUCUUUCUCUCUCUCUCUUUCUCUCUCUCUCCCCCUCCCUUGGCCGUGGGUUUGAGGAGCCGCGGCAGCGGCCAUCUUCGUUGUGCCAUUUGUGCCGUGAGACUCAUGUUUUGUCGCCAUCGUGCCUCUGUCAUCACAAGCUUGCCAUCGCCGGACAUCGAUAAAAAGAAUGGGUUGAUGAUGCGUCCUGGGACGUCGCAAUUUAAUCGACUGCCGAGGGAUGUUCGCGCGCUUGAGGUUCGGGGCGUGACAAUUGCAGCUAUCGGAGCCGAGCUUGAGGAAAUUGAGCCUUGAUGGUAGGGGUGACAAUAGUUGGCGAGGAUCGAGGAGAGGAGGCUCAAUGCACGGUUAGGAAGGUGCUAGUUAAGGAGAUAGAAGAACACGUGAAGUGCCAGAAAAGGUAUACUUCAAUGCUAACGGUGAGAAUUUCUGGCUAAACUGUUGACUUGGUUUUUUCCGAUGAGAAUUUGAAGUGAUGUGACAUUUCUUUAAAAUAAUUUUACCCACGUAUAGGGCAAGCAACGUUUAUUUUGGCUAUUAAGUGAUUAUUUUCUACAAAA